CGUUGCCUCACAGUCGUUCUUCACUGGCUAGCUUUAUGUCCUCCGACCCCACGCUAAAGCUGCCAGUUGAAGAGCUGUUGUGUGUAACC
rnacentral:pre_miRNA from 13 species